GACGAACGCUGGCGGCGUGCUUAACACAUGCAAGUCGAACGAGGUCCACUGCGUAGCAAUACAAGGGAAGACCUAGUGGCGAACGGGUGCGUAACACGUGAGGAACUUGUCCCGGUCUCUGGGAUAACAGUUGGAAACGACUGCUAAUACCGGAUGACGUCGGAAUCUCGCAUGGGAUACUGACGAAAGGGUUACUGGAUCGGGAGAGCCUCGCGGCCUAUCAGCUUGUUGGUGAGGUAACGGCUCACCAAGGCAUCGACGGGUAGCUGGUCUGAGAGGAUGAUCAGCCACACUGGGACUGAGACACGGCCCAGACUCCUACGGGAGGCAG
rnacentral:rRNA from 1 species